UGCCCUAAUACCACUUGGAAACAGGUGCUAAUACCGGAUAACAACAAUAGCUGCAUGGCUAUUGCUUAAAAGGCGGCGAAAGCUGUCGCUAAAGGAUGGACCCGCGGUGCAUUAGCUAGUUGGUAAGGUAAUGGCUUACCAAGGCGACGAUGCAUAGCCGAGUUGAGAGACUGAUCGGCCACAUUGGGACUGAGACACGGCCCAAACUCCUACGGGAGGCAGCAGUAGGGAAUCUUCCACAAUGGGCGAAAGCCUGAUGGAGCAACGCCGCGUGAGUGAAGAAGGUUUUCGGAUCGUAAAGCUCUGUUGUUGGUGAAGAAGGAUAGAGGUAGUAACUGGCCCCUAUUUGACGGUAAUCAACCAGAAAGUCACGGCUAACUACGUGCCAGCAGCCGCGGUAAUACGUAGGUGGCAAGCGUUGUCCGGAUUUAUUGGGCGUAAAGCGAGCGCAGGCGGAAAGAUAAGUCUGAUGUGAAAGCCCCCGGCUUAACCGAGGAAUUGCAUCGGAAACUGUGUUUCUUGAGUGCAGAAGAGGAGAGUGGAACUCCAUGUGUAGCGGUGGAAUGCGUAGAUAUAUGGAAGAACACCAGUGGCGAAGGCGGCUCUCUGGUCUGUAACUGACGCUGAGGCUCGAAAGCAUGGGUAGCGAACAGGAUUAGAUACCCUGGUAGUCCAUGCCGUAAACGAUGAGUGCUAAGUG
rnacentral:rRNA from 1 species